GACGAAGGAUGCAAGCGUUAUCCGGAUUCAUUGGGUUUAAAGGGUGCGUAGGCGGACUUGUAAGUCAGUGGUGAAAGCCCAUCGCUCAACGGUGGAACGGCCAUUGAUACUGCAAGACUUGAAUUAUUAGGAAGUAACUAGAAUAUGUAGUGUAGCGGUGAAAUGCUUAGAGAUUACAUGGAAUACCAAUUGCGAAGGCAGGUUACUACUAAUGGAUUGACGCUGAUGGACGAAAGCGUGGGGAGCGAACAGG
rnacentral:rRNA from 1 species